rnacentral:misc_RNA from 1 species
AAGUCGUAACAAGGUUUCCGUAGGUGAACCUGCGGAAGGAUCAUUAUCGAGUUUUGACUGGGUUGUAGCUGGCCUCCCGAGGCAUGUGCACGCCCUGCUCAUCCACUCUACACCUGUGCACUUACUGUGGGCUUCAGACGUCGUGAAGCGGGCUCUUUACGGAGCUUGUAGAGCGUGUCUGUGCCUGCGUUUACCACAAACUCUAUAAAGUAUUAGAAUGUGUAUUGCGAUGCAACGCAUCUAUAUACAACUUUCAGCAACGGAUCUCUUGGCUCUC